CUCGUAGGCGGCCAACUAAGUCAGACGUGAAAUCCCCAGGCUCAACCUGGGAACUGCGUCUGAUACUGGAUGGCUUGAAUCCGGGAGAGGGAUGCAGAAUUCCAGGUGUAGCGGUGAAAUGCGUAGAUAUCUGGAGGAAUACCGGUGGCGAAGGCGGCAUCCUGGACCGGCAUUAACACUGAGGAGCGAAAGCCCAGGGGAGCAAACG
rnacentral:rRNA from 1 species